UACAGAGGUCCCGAGCGUUGUUCGGAUUCAUUGGGCGUAAAGGGUGCGUAGGUGGCGCCGUAAGUGGGGUGUGAAAUUCCGGGGCUUAACCCCGGGACUGCAUUCCAUACUGCGGUGCUUGAGGACUGGAGAGGAGACUGGAAUUUACGGUGUAGCAGUGAAAUGCGUAGAGAUCGUAAGGAAGACCAGUGGCGAAGGCGGGUCUCUGGACAGUUACUGACGCUGAGGCGCGAAAGCGUGGGGAGCAAACAGG
rnacentral:rRNA from 1 species